ensembl:lncRNA
GAAAGAGCCAAGACUCCUAAUUUGCUUUUUUUUUUAAUUGUACUAAAAUAUACAUAACAUAAAAUGUGUCAUUUUAACCAUUUCCAGUUUGGUGGCAUUAAGUACAUUCACAAUGUUCUACAAUCGUCACCACUGCCAAUUUCCAGAAUUUUUUCAUCAUCCCAAACAGAAACUCGGAAUAGGAUUGAUCUCUGUAGUAGAACUGUGUUGUUGGAGAAGACUCUUGAGAGUUCCUUGGACUGCAAAGAGAUCAAUCCAAUCAAUCCUAAAGGAAAUCAGUCCUGAAUAUUUAUUGGAAGGACUGAUACUGAAGCUGAAGCUCCAAUACUUUGGCCACCUGAUGGAAAGAACUGACUCAAUGGAAAAGACCCUGAUGGCUGGGAAAGAUUGAAUGCAGGAGGAGAAGGGGGCGACAGAGAAUGAGAUGGUUGCGUGGCAUCACUGAAUCAAUGGACAUGAGUUUGAGCAAACUCCAGGAGUUGGUGAUGGACAGGAAAGCCUGGCAUGCUGCAGUCCAUGGGGUUCAAAGAGUCGAACAUGACUGAGCGACUGAACAACAACAACUAUAGCAGAUGGCUGUUUACAGAAUGACUUUGAUAGGACAUGGCUGACUGUGAAAGGAAGGCUGAUUUCUAAAGUCUGGAAGAUUUGGGAUGAAGAGUCCAGAGCCUGCAGCUGGAUUGAAAGAGUUAAAUUCCCAGCUCUACCUUGGACUAGCCGGUGGCCUUCGAAAAGUGGCGGAUAUCUACCUCCUCAGCCUGGAGAGUGUUGGAGGAGCCAGCGUGCUCUCAAAAGGCAGAAAGUUGGCCAGACCUGGGGCAGGAAAGGGUCAAGGAGGGCAAAGGGCCAGGAGGCAGUCAUGCUGGGAGGCCUGGAGGAGACAGCCAGGGAGGAGCUGAGACAGAACAGUCAGCAGCCUCAGUGAGAGGAGCCUCGUGGGAAGACGGUCCCCUGAAAGAAGGGCUCCCAGAACUGAUGAAGGGAAAUGUUCCAUGAAAGGGGGCCAAAGACAAAUAUCAUCUCCUCCCCAGGUUGCUAGCACCUGCCUUCUGCCUCUCACCCAAACGCCAAGCAACAUUUCCUUUGAAACGGUCCAAGUGUGAGAGCUUGAGCCCCACCAGUUGCUGGAAACCAAGCCUCUCAGACGUCAGAAGGCUGAUGUUUUCAUCAUGUGCACAUGUGUGUGUGUGUGUAUGAGAGACAGAGGAAGUCUUGUGGGUUGUCAGGGUCUCGUGGUUUCCUUGUCAGCAUCAGUGACAGUCAGAAGCAGCUUCUUUUUGCUGGUUUCCAACCCAGAACUAGGCCACCUUCAGGGAGUCCCAGCCAGCAACUUCCUCCCUUAGACUAUCUUCCCUUCCCUCAGUGGACGUGCCCCGAAAGAGGAAGAGAUUAGUAUCCCAUUCUGUUCCAAGGCCUGUCUUAGUCCUCGAGUCCUUUCUAUGGUUGAGCCCAGCGUGAUCCUAAGCCUUUGUCCUCACCAUAGGCUCUCCUCUACC